GUGUUCACUUCAGCACUAAAACUGGAACACAGAGAACAUUAGCACGGCUCCUAUGCAAGGAUGACAUGCAAAUUCAUGAAGCAUUCUGUAUUAAA
rnacentral:snRNA from 1 species